rnacentral:lncRNA from 1 species
AACGAUAAAAAUAACUCCGAAAUAUUAAUCGACUUUAAUGUCCAUUAGAGCAUAAACAAUUUCUUCAAUAAAUAAUUCCUUGAUGGACAAAAUUGUAAUACUAAAAAAUUUACCUGCACUUCUGAUUCCGAUCAACUUCCAAUUUUAAAGAUAUAAUGUCUUAGCUAUUCUUAACGUUCCAAACGAAUUCCACAUUGACAAGGACUUUAAGCUUUGGUACCACUGUGUGAAUGGAUUUUUUGCCCAAUGAAUUCUUUCAUAAUCGGCUUUAUCAGCCAUCGAUCGCCCCAUACACACGCAAAAUAUUAUUGUUAUUUGCAAUCUCAAAUUUUUUAAAUUAUCGCUUGAAG